UUACUUUACUAUAUAGUAUUAAAGUUUUUACUAGUAUUUAUACUAUUUUCUUUUAUAUUUAAUACUAAUAAACUUUAGCGUGAUGAAUUUGUACCAUAUUAAAUAUGUUUAUAAUAUACACAUUGUUUUUUUUUAACACAAAUGUGAUAUGUUUGCAAUGCACAAUUAUGUUAAAAGUUUAAUUUAAGUAAGUAUUAGUUACAUUAACAAAUAACUUUAACAAUUUUUAUUUAGUUAUGUUUUGGUUCUUUAUGUAGGUUUGACAUUUAAAUUUAAAACCCUUACAUAUUCUUAGCAUUGAAGACUGACACAUAAGAAGUGAUCAAAAAUAUUAUAUUGUUACUUUAUUCAUACAGGGACAAAUUGCUUUUGGAACCCGCAAUUUCCCUUUCUAAUGCAAUCGAUUUGGAUAAGGAAAAUGAAGUGGAAAUAGCAGCAGUUUUAAAUUUAAAAAUUAUAAAAUACUACAGAAAAUCA